UACGUAGGGGGCUAGCGUUGCUCGGAAUUACUGGGCGUAAAGCGCACGUAGGCGGCUUUCUAAGUCGGGGGUGAAAUCCCGGGGCUCAACCCCGGAACUGCCUUUGAUACUGAUAGUCUCGAGUCCGGAAGAGGUGAGUGGAAUUCCGAGUGUAGAGGUGAAAUUCGUAGAUAUUCGGAGGAACACCAGUGGCGAAGGCGGCUCACUGGUCCGGUACUGACGCUGAGGUGCGAAAGCCAGGGGAGCAAACGGG
rnacentral:rRNA from 1 species